UCGUUUGUGACUGCAAAUCUGAAAGAAGCUGGAGUUAAUUUUCGAGCCUAUGAACAGAAACUUCAUAUUAGACGGAUAUGUGUGGGUGAUGUUGCAAAAGAAAUAAAAGCCCAAUACUGCACAGAACACAUAAUCGUAAAUGGAGAGGCUACAAGAGUAGAAGGCGAAU
rfam:Cyclobacterium marinum DSM 745, complete genome.